GAUUUUGGGGUGCUUUUGAAGCUGCUUUCAAAUGGGUUUAUGAGACCAAACAGUGAGGUUUUAAAGCUGGUCUAUGACUGGAAAACAUGAGCUAUCAUUGCUUUCAAAUGAUAAAGAGCUAAGCAUGAGAAUGGCGGUAGAAACAAAAUGUUCUUUGGGGGAAAACACAGCUCACUCUUUUAUUGUCCAGCUCUUAAUUCUCUCUUUUCCAUUUUUCACUAACUCAAUUUUCGGUUUUCUCUCAUUUUCUCUUUUUUUUCUUCAAAUCUUCCUCUCGUCAAUUCUUUCUUUUUGUUUUUCGC
rnacentral:lncRNA from 1 species